GGAGAGAUGGCCGAGUGGCUGAAGGCGCACGCUUGGAAAGCGCGUAUACAUGAAAAUGUAUCAUGGGUUCGAAUCCCAUUUUCUCCG
rnacentral:tRNA from 2 species